CGUAUCACCCAAGACAACUUUACGGAGUUGACGAUUGACGGAGCGAAGCGACGUCAAAGCGUUCAUUAAAGUCGAGUUGGCUUAGGGAUACGUUCGUUGGGUAGGGGAGCGUUCUGUAAGCCUGUGAAGGUGUGUCGUGAGGCAUGCUGGAGGUAUCAGAAGUGCGAAUGCUGACAUAAGUAACGAUAAAGCGGGUGAAAAGCCCGCUCGCCGGAAGACCAAGGGUUCCUGUCCAACGUUAAUCGGGGCAGGGUGAGUCGACCCCUAAGGCGAGGCCGAAAGGCGUAGUCGAUGGGAAACGGGUUAAUAUUCCCGUACUUGGUGUUACUGCGAAGGGGGGACGGAGAAGGCUAUGUUGGCCGGGCGACGGUUGUCCCGGUUUAAGCGUGUAGGUGUGUGUUCCAGGUAAAUCCGGUUCACUUUAACACUGAGGCGUGACGACGAGGCACUACGGUGCUGAAGCAACAAAUGCCCUGCUUCCAGGAAAAGCCUCUAAGCAUCAGGUAACACGAAAUCGUACCCCAAACCGACACAGGUGGUCAGGUAGAGAAUACCAAGGCGCUUGAGAGAACUCGGGUGAAGGAACUAGGCAAAAUGGUGCCGUAACUUCGGGAGAAGGCACGCUGACACGU
rnacentral:rRNA from 1 species